GACGAACGCUGGCGGCGUGCCUAAUACAUGCAAGUCGAGCGAAGCGGCGGAUGGGUGAGUAACGCGUGGGUAACCUGCCCUUAAGUCUGGGAUACCAUUUGGAAACAGAUGCUAAUAACGGAUACUAAAGGAUGGACCUGCGAUGCAUUAGCUAGUUGGUAAGGUAACGGCUUACCAAGGCGAUGAUGCAUAGCCGAGUGUAGAGGCUGAGCGGCCACAUUGGGACUGAGACACGGUCCAGACUCCUACGGGAGGCAGCAGUGGGGAAUAUUGCACAAUGGGCGCAAGCCUGAUGCAGCCAUGCCGCGUGUAUGAAGAAGGCCUUCGGGUUGUAAAGUACUUUCAGCGAGGAGGCGUUACUCGCAGAAGAAGCAUCGGCUAACUCCGUGCCAGCCGCGGCGGUAAUUC
rnacentral:rRNA from 1 species